ensembl:Mt_tRNA
ACUUCUGUAGGACAGAAGUAAUCCACUGGUUUUAGGAACCACCUUUCCUUGGUGCAACUCCAAGCAGAAGUU